GACGAACGCUGGCGGCGUGCUUAACACAUGCAAGUCGAACGCUGAAGCUCAGCUUUUGUUGGGUGGAUGAGUGGCGAACGGGUGAGUAACACGUGAGUAACCUGCCUCCUUCUUUGGGAUAACGCCCGGAAACGGGUGCUAAUACUGGAUAUUCACUGGUCUUCGCAUGGGGGUUGGUGGAAAGGGUUUUUCUGGUGGGGGAUGGGCUCGCGGCCUAUCAGCUUGUUGGUGGGGUGAUGGCCUACCAAGGCUUUGACGGGUAGCCGGCCUGAGAGGGUGACCGGUCACAUUGGGACUGAGAUACGGCCCAGACUCGGACGGGGGGCGGCAGUGGGGAAUAUUGCAGAAUGGGCGCAAGCCUGAUGCAGCGAGGCCGCGUGAGGGAUGGAGGCCUUCGGGUUGUGAACCUCUUUCGCUCAUGGUCAAGCCGCAACAAUGGUUGUGGUGAGGGUAGUGGGUAAAGAAGCGCCGGCUAACUACGUG
rnacentral:rRNA from 1 species